GAUGAACGCUGGCGGCGUGCCUAAUACAUGCAAGUCGAGCGAACAGACGAGGAGCUUGCUCCUCUGACGUUAGCGGCGGACGGGUGAGUAACACGUGGAUAACCUACCUAUAAGACUGGGAUAACUUCGGGAAACCGGAGCUAAUACCGGAUAAUAUAUUGAACCGCAUGGUUCAAUAGUGAAAGACGGUUUUGCUGUCACUUAUAGAUGGAUCCGCGCCGCAUUAGCUAGUUGGUAAGGUAACGGCUUACCAAGGCAACGAUGCGUAGCCGACCUGAGAGGGUGAUCGGCCACACUGGAACGGAGACACGGUCCAGACUCCUAAGGGAGGCAGCAGUAGGGAAUCUUCCGCAAUGGGCGAAAGCCUGACGGAGCAACGCCGCGUGAGUGAUGAAGGUCUUCGGAUCGUAAAACUCUGUUAUUAGGGAAGAACAAAUGUGGAAGUAACUAUGCACGUCUUGACGGUACCUAAUCAGAAAGCCACGGCUAACUACGUG
rnacentral:rRNA from 1 species